rnacentral:tRNA from 4 species
GGGACGGUAGCUCAUGGGUCGAGCGGUAGCGGACAACCGCUGCAGGCAGGCAGGUUCAACUCCUGUACGUCCCACCA